rnacentral:lncRNA from 1 species
GCCAACAAGGCAUAUAUACGUAAAUAUGCAUAAUACGGUGGGCGAGCUGGCAAGGCUACUAUAGCCAACUACACAUCCAAUAACUGAAAGCCGACAAUGCCACAUACAACCCAACUAGACAUACUAUCUACAUACCUCUAAUAAAAACAUAAUUGUACAAAGACGGGACUGAGCCACAUCAUACCUAUAUAUAUAUCUAUAUAUAUAUACAAACGUAUCGUACCAAAAUCAAAGUAGCUCCAGAUCAAGUGGAGCACGCCAACUCUCGCUGAUCAGGUAUCCUAAGAAGGGGGACCGUCAACUUGCCUACCUGCACCUGCGGGCAUAGAACGCAGGCCCCAUGAAAUAGGGCGUCAGUACGUAAAAUGUACUGAGUAUGUAAGGCAUGAAAAUUAGUACGUAAAAUACAUAGAUGAAACAAGGAAUAAGGAAACACAUAUUUAAAUCUGAAUAACUUUGUAAAUUUUAAAAUGUUUAUAAUGUCAUGCACAUGUGUAUAAAUGUCGUGCCAUGCAUAGGUAUGGGUGUACUGUAACGACCCGACCGACCAUUUUGAGCUUUUGCACUUUGCUCGCCAGUUCUCGGGCAUGACUUGCCCCGUGUGAUGUAUUAUGACUUAUGUGAAUCGUUGGUUUUGGUUUUCAGGGUAAUCAAAAUGAAUUUGGAAGAAACAGUCCUCAGUUGAAGCUUGAAAUUUGAAAGGUUUGACCAAGAUUUGACUUGUUUGUACAUGAUCUCGGAUCAGAAAUUUUAUGAUUUGGUUAGCUCCGUUGGGUGAUUUAGGACUUAAUAGCAUGAUCGGAAUACAUUUUGGAAGUCCGUGGAAGGUUUAGGCUUGAAUUGGCGAAAUUGAGGUUUUGGCAUUUUCCGGUUGAUAGGUGAGAUUUUGAUAUAGGGGUCGAAAUGGAUUUUAGGAAGUUGUAGUAAUUCCGUUGUGUCAUUUGGGAUGUGUGUGAAAAAUUUCAGGUCAUUUGGACGUGGCUUGGUUGGCUUUUUGAUCAAAAGCGUAAUCUAGAAGGUUUUGGAAUUCUUAGGCUUGAAUCCGAUGCGAAUUUGGUAUUUUGAUGUUGUUUUGAGCGUUUCGAAUGUUGUAAAAAGUUUGAAUGAGGUUAUGAGAUAUGUUGGCAUGUUUGGUUGAGGUCCUGAGGGCCUCGAGUGAGUUUCGGGUGGUCAAUCAGACCAUUUCAUAUUUUGCAAAGUUGAAGAAAAUUUCUGUUCAGUGUUGUAGGCAUUUGGCCUUCGCGUUCGCGAGUAGGGCCUCGCGUUCGCGAAGGGUUAGCUGGUGAGGUGGAGAUUUUAGCCUUUGCGUUCGCGAGGGAGGCUCCGUGUUCGCGAAGGGCUGGGUUCGUUGUGCAUCGCGUUCGCGAGGGAGGCUCCGCGUUCGCGUAGGGGAAGUGAGCAGCUGGGUUUGAGGAUUUAUUUGUUCUUCGCGUUCACGGAAAGGGAGUCGUGUUCGCGUUGGGUUAGGGAGCCAAGUCUUCGCGUUCAGGAGUGGUAGGACGCGUUCGCGGUGAAGGAAAUUUGGUCAAAGUAAUUUUGUGCUUCGCGAAUGCGAGGCUUUGAUUGCGUUUGCGAAGAAGGAUUUUUAUGCCUGGGUAAAAUGAUUUAAAAGGGUUAUUCCGUGAUUUUGAGGCUAAGUACCUCCAUUGUUGGGCAAUUUUGAAGCUUGGGAGAGCUAAUUUAAGAGGUAAUUCAAGAGGAUUUCAUGGAGGUAAGAUUUUUGGACACUAAACUUGAUUCUAUGAUGAAUUCUAUCAUUGUAAGCUUGAAAUCCAUGGAAACAAAUCAGUAGCAAAAAUGGGUAAUUAGGGCUUGAGAUUAAGAGACCUUUGAGUGGGGAUUUGAGGUUCUAUUUUGAUGUUCUUGAUAUGUAUAGACUCGUGUGAGGAUGAGGAUUCCAUUGAUGUUAAUUUUAUCGGAUUUCGGCACGUGGGCCCAGGGGCCGAGUUUGAGAAUUUUUGGGAUUUUGAUGUAAAAUUGGAUAUUUUUGAGUGGGCUUCGUUCCCUUUGCAUAUUUUAAUGAUUAUAUAUUGAUUGUGGCUAGAUUUGGAGCAUCCGGAGGUUGAUUCGUGCGGGCAAGGCAUCGCGGGCUAGAGUUUGGAUCGGAUCGAGGUGAGUAAUGAUUGUAAAUGAUGUUCUGAGGGUUUUAAACCCCGGAUUGCACAUCGUAGUGCUAUAUUGAAGUGAGACACACACUUGAAGACGAGCGUGGGGUCAUGCACUAUUGGGGAUUGUGACUUGGUCUGUCCCGAUUGAUGAUUUUACCGCGUAUUUGACUGAAAUCUAUUUGCUAUCAUUAUUAUUUGGGCUGAAUAUCAUAUUUGGGCUUCGUGCCAACUAGUUGAACCCUUCGGGGAUUUUUGUUGAUGUUUCCUCACUGUUUUUGAUUUUAUGCUUGAACUCAAUCAUGCUAUAUUCUACUGUUUUCAAAACUCAGCCAUGUUUACUCUGCUUUAAACUUAAAAUGAUAUUUUAAAUCAUAUUUUGGGCUGAGCAUCAUGUUUUACUGUUGCCCAAGUGGCUUAUGUGAAUUUUUACUGAGUAAGGCCAAGGGCCUGUGUUGUGAGGAUACUUUUGGGUCGGGCUGCACGCUGCAGCGGUGAUACACUGAUUUGGUUAUGAGGCUGAGGGCUUGAGAUAUGUACGCCACAAGGUGGUUUGUUGAUAUUAAUAUGAGGCCGAGAGCCUGUUUAUGAUGCCACGGGUGGCUUGAUAUUGCACUUGGGCCGUAAGGGGCCCCUCCAGGAGUCUGCACACCCCCAGUGAGCGCUGGUAUCCGUUGUGAUGUGAGAUAUAGCCCGAGGGGCUGGUAUUGUUCUAUGUGAUUGCCCGAGGGGCUGGUAUUAUUCUGAGAUAUUGCCCGAGGGGCGAAUUUGUUAAUAUUGUGCCCGAGGGGCGAAUUUGUUGAUAUUGUACCCGAGGGGCGAACCUUAUGUGCUUAUCUUUCUUAUUUGCCUGUCAUGUACCUGUUUAAUUGUGUAUUUUUGCUCGAGGAGCGGAUUUCUAUGCUUAUCUGCACUAAUUAUUUUGCAUUCAUUUGUGCAACUGUUGAAAAAGUCAUUUUCGAAGAAGUUUAAACUGAGCUAAGAUAUUUUAAGAGAUUUUACAGCUUCAUUGCUUUCUUACUGGUUUUUGAACUGCUUUUAUACAGCAUGUUGAUGCACUUUUCGUGAUUUCUUACCAUUCAGACUUUAGUUAUGAUUAUUACUCACUGAGUUGGAGUAUUCAUUUUACUCCCUGCAUCUUGUGUGCAGAUUCGGGUAUUUCUGAACCCGGUAGCGGGUAUUGGUUGAUCGGAGGCAGAGUCAUCGGAGUUUAGCAAGGUAGCUGCCGGCGUUCGCAGCACUGCUUUUCUCUCUCUGAACAUCCUUGGACUGUAUUUAGCCUAUUUCAGAACUUAGUUGUAUUUUUGACCUUAGUAGAUGCUCGUGACUUGUGACACCCCGAUGUCGGGCUGUGUUUAUUUCCGCAGUGUUCAUUUAAACUCACAUUAAGCAAUAUCUGAUUAAUUUAAAAGGCAUUAAAUUGACUUAUUAACAUUAUUGAAGUGAAUUUGGGAAUUGUGUCGGAUGGCUUUGUCUUCACGAGAGGCGCCAUCACGACCGAGUCCGGUUGGGGGUCGUGACAUGUACAUAAUAUCAUCAAGCCACUGAUGGCAUCCCAUCGUAUCAUCUCGGCCACUGUGGGCAACAUCAUCAGCAUAUACUAGCUGAUCAGGUGGUGGUGUGUAUAUAACGUCGUAGCAUUUUCCUAUAUCCCAUAUACAUAUAUUUACAUAUAUACGCGUAUAUAACACCAUCUGGUCAUGAGUCAAUGCACAUGCAUAAAUGAGUGAAAUGUAUGAAAAAUACGUAAUAAUCUCAAUAUUCCUUCCGGAUAAACUUUUUCAACCGUGUAUUAUUUUGAGACCCAUGAACAGAAGAUAAUAAUAUUUUUCAUGGGGAAUCAAGAAUAUAGACACCCCUAGUAUCUCUAUGAAUAGAAUAAUUUAUGAAAAUUGUGCGUUUGCUCGUUUCUUUAGUAUAAAUCGGAACAUGCCAUACGAAAGAAGGGAUGACUUUAACAUACCUUUUUCUUGAAUUAUUUGAACGAAUCUGCUUCUGCGAAAUAUAGAUGAAAUUCUGCUUGAAUCUCUUAAAAUUUUGAAACGAAAUUUGGUUGCUCUUUGAAAUUCCAAUCGAAAUGUUGGCUAAAGAUUUUGGACGAAAUGACUCUGCUUCUAACGUCUUUGGUUUGAAACCAAAGACAAAAUGUGCUUUCAUCUAAUGAAUUGCUUACUAAG